CAGAGAUCUGUCAGAGCGCUCCGUCUCUGCUGAGCGCGGUACCGACAGCCGCGCACCGCUCCGCGCCACUCACCGCGCCGCGUCCACCCGCAGCUCCUGGAGGGCCGUCCGCAGGCUGCGCUCCUCCUCGUCCUCGUCGUCGUCGUCCUCGUCGUCCUCGUCCUCGUCGUCGUCCUGCUGCUGCUGCUGCUGCUCCUCCUCGUCCUCGUGCCGCCUGUUUGCAAGCCAAGGACACGUGAAAGGAACGUCAGCGGGACUGAGGCGGAGCUGCACCCAGCCUGUGGUGGGCGACCCAAUAAAAGCCAACUGUUUCGUAA
rnacentral:lncRNA from 1 species